GGGAGGGAUCUGCCAAUGACUCACGCGUCCUGAAGGAUGCAAUGAGUAGAAGUGCAUGUAGUCUUCCACUUCCAAAUGGUAAAUUUUAUCUAGUUGAUUGUGGUUACCCAAAUAGGCUACAAUUUUUGGCUCCCUAUCGGGGUACGAGGUACCACCUUAAAGAGUUUGGCCCAGCUAACAACCGUCAGCGACCACGCAAUGCUCAUGAGCUAUUCAACCAUCGACAUUCAUCACUUAGAAAUUGUAUUGAACGUAUUUUUGGCAUUUUUAAGUCUAGGUUUACAAUUUUUAAGUCUC